GUGACAGACUUUCCAUUACUUGCAAUUUAUAAAAGACUUAGAAUUUGUAAUGUGUAUGUUAGUGCUUUUUAGUGAAUGAAAACAAAACAUUUUCUUUCUCUUAGACUUUAAGGUGACAUGCUGGUUUAAAAUGCAGUAUCCAGGGUUGCUAAAGUUUGCAUUUCUUCAUACUUUUAUGUAGGCUUAUGUAGUUGUUUGAUCCUGACUGGAUGCCAGAUCCCCACCAAAGCUGCUCUAUCACUGCUCUCCUCAUCAGGGCAGGAGAGAGGAAAUAGAAUGAAAGGCUCAUGGGUCGAGGCUGAGCUUCACUCCCAGUUCUCUACUUCCUUCCCACCAGUGGCGCAGGGGGACAAGGAGUGGAGGCUGAGGUCCUGCCAGGAGGCUGUGCAAACUUCCCAUGGGGUCACAGCUGGCUGUGGGCAUCCACCUUGGAGUCUGCAGGGACACAGCUGCCUUUGUCAUGGUUUGCACCAGGAGCUGCAAGGGAACCUCUACUCUGGCAGCUGAAGUACCUCCUGGCCCUCCUUGUGCACUGACCUUGGCAUCUGCAGGGUUGUUCCUCUCACAUGUUCUCUCUCCUCUCUCCUGCUGCAGUUGCUGCUGUGCAGUAGCACUUUUUCACCCCUUUCUUGACUCUCUUAUCCCAGAGGCACAGCCACUGUUGCUGCUGGGCUCAUCCUUGCCAAGUGGCAUGUCUGUCCUGGAGCCAGCUGGCCUUGCCUCUUCUGGACAUGGGGGAAGAUUCUGGCAGCUUCUCACAGAACCAACCCUGUAGCCCCCCACUACCAAAACCUUGCCACAAGGUUCCUUGGUAUAGUGUUAGGUUUGGGAUUAAGCUAAGUGAUUGAAGAAUUUUGAAGAUUAGAGCAGAAAUAUUUAAGUAAAAGAAAUGGGCUCGCAGUAAGUGCUCAGUGACAAACACGAGCAGUUCAGAGCCCCAGUUUAUGUGACACUGGUUCGCAGCUUUACAAUGCCUUAAAUCUGUUGUUUUGUAUGUUUUAAAAGAUUGUCAGUUUUGCAAAGUAUUUGGUAUUUGAACUGCUAUUUUAGGACAGUAUUAGGAAAUGUGACUCCUAAAGGCCUUCCCUUUUACUUUUUUAUGGCACAUGAAAGAAAUUGGGAAUAUCAUCUGUCAAAUAUACUUCUUAGAUAUUUGAAAAUAUAGAUGGAACAAGAACUUUUUAUGAUUGCUGACUGUUCAAUUGGUGUCG